AAGGCUACUGGAGCUAGGCUUUGCUGGAGAAUGUAUGGAGCUAUGAUCAGGUCAAUAGUAGUGCUUUAUCUCUUUUCUGCUUUUUGUUUUGAUUUUGUUCAAUGCAACUUCAAAAUCAAAUGAAAGAAUGGAAGGGUAGGCUGAGUGGAGAACAGAAGCAUAUGCGUUCAGCGGAAGAGGUGAAGAAAGGGCAUAUUGAAGAGACUGUGAGCAGAAAGGAAAGAAAAUUCUCUGCUUAAAUACCAUGGUAAUUGUGAGUCAAGAAAUGCCUUCGGGUGGAUUUUCCCAAAGGACUCAGCAUGAUGUCAAUGGGAACAGUGCUUUAGAAAACCUCAGCUUGAACAAAUAUAGAAAAGGACAACAAUCAUUGGAAUUCGGUUAUCUAAAGCCACUACUUGACUGAAUGCUCUGGAGCACUUAAUCCUUCACACUCCCAUCUGAAGGAUCUAAGGCAAGAGUCCAGCAGUGGCCUGUCCAGUAACGCAAUGUGAGCUCA
rnacentral:lncRNA from 1 species